rnacentral:rRNA from 1 species
GGAAUCUUGCACAAUGGACGAAAGUCUGAUGGAGCAACGCCGCGUGAGUGAUGAAGGCUUCAGGGUCGUAAAACUCUGUUGUUGGAGAAGAACGUGUGUGAGAGUAACUGCUCAUGCAGUGACGGUAUCCAACCAGAAAGCCACGGCUAACUACGUGCCAGCAGCCGCGGUAAUACGUAGGUCCCGAGCGUUGUCCGGAUUUAUUGGGCGUAAAGCGAGCGCAGGCGGUUUAAUAAGUCUGAAGUUAAAGGCAGUGGCUUAACCAUUGUUCGCUUUGGAAACUGUUAGACUUGAGUGCAGAGGGGGAGAGUGGAAUUCCAUGUGUAGCGGUGAAAUGUGUAGAUAUAUGGAGGAACACCGGUGGCGAAAGCGGCUCUCUGGUCUGUAACUGACGCUGAGGCUCGAAGGCGUGGGGAGCAAACA